rnacentral:rRNA from 1 species
GACGAACGCUGGCGGCGCGCCUAACACAUGCAAGUCGAACGAGCGAGAGAGAGCUUGCUUUCUCGAGCGAGUGGCGAACGGGUGAGUAACGCGUGAGGAACCUGCCUCAAAGAGGGGGACAACAGUUGGAAACGACUGCUAAUACCGCAUAAGCCCACGGUGCCGCAUGGCACAGAGGGAAAAGGAGCAAUCCGCUUUGAGAUGGCCUCGCGUCCGAUUAGCUAGUUGGUGAGGUAAUGGCCCACCAAGGCGACGAUCGGUAGCCGGACUGAGAGGUUGAACGGCCACAUUGGGACUGAGACACGGCCCAGACUCCUACGGGAGGCAGCAGUGGGGAAUAUUGCACAAUGGGGGAAACCCUGAUGCAGCGACGCCGCGUGGAGGAAGAAGGUCUUCGGAUUGUAAACUCCUGUUGUUGGGGAAGAUAAUGACGGUACCCAACAAGAAAGUGACG